rnacentral:rRNA from 1 species
GGGGGACCUUCGGGCCUCUUGCCAUCGGAUGUGCCCAGAUGGGAUUAGCUAGUAGGUGGGGUAACGGCUCACCUAGGCGACGAUCCCUAGCUGGUCUGAGAGGAUGACCAGCCACACUGGAACUGAGACACGGUCCAGACUCCUACGGGAGGCAGCAGUGGGGAAUAUUGCACAAUGGGCGCAAGCCUGAUGCAGCCAUGCCGCGUGUAUGAAGAAGGCCUUCGGGUUGUAAAGUACUUUCAGCGGGGAGGAAGGGAGUAAAGUUAAUACCUUUGCUCAUUGACGUUACCCGCAGAAGAAGCACCGGCUAACUCCGUGCCAGCAGCCGCCGUAAUCCGGAGGGAGCAAGC